UACGAAGGGGGCUAGCGUUGCUCGGAAUCACUGGGCGUAAAGCGCACGUAGGCGGGUCUUUAAGUCAGGGGUGAAAUCCUGGAGCUCAACUCCAGAACUGCCUUUGAUACUGAGGAUCUCGAGUCCGGGAGAGGUGAGUGGAACUCCGAGUGUAGAGGUGAAAUUCGUAGAUAUUCGGAAGAACACCAGUGGCGAAGGCGGCUCACUGGCCCGGUACUGACGCUGAUGUGCGGAAGCGUGGGGAGCAAACAGG
rnacentral:rRNA from 1 species